CAAUAACUAACUCUUUGUGUUUUUUUUCUCCAGGAGCUGAUGUGUCACAAGACGGAUUACCUGCCUUCCCCAGCGCUGGGUUUGGGGGAAUAUAGUGCCUCCCACUCUCCCUGCCAGAGCCCACGAUCCAGCAGCUGGGCGACACAAGAGAAGCGGUGCAUAUAGAGGGAAUUGUGCUCAGGGGCAUCUCUCAGACCAGAAUAGACAAGGAAUACAACUUUGAGGUGAAGUGGUCAGACUCUUCUUCUAGCACUGUGACCAAAACCCACCUGGAACUGGAGAACUUCCUUCUUAAGCUUCCUAAGGAUCAGUGUACUGAGUCUUUUGAGAAGAACAUCCUGAGGCUUCUGAACCCGGGGGACCAGAAGGAGACCCGGGAGGUGGAAAGGAGCCUCAGCUAGCUUCCGUGCACAUCCGGUUCCACUGUUGACUUUAGCGUCGGAUGGCAUCAGAGUUCUGCUGGACUACUACUUCAUUUUUAUAUAAAAACCGGACAAAGCUGGACGUUACUUGGAGAAAAGAAAGCGAGGAAGUUGAACUACCUGG